rnacentral:miRNA from 1 species
GUCUGGGUGGGGCCUGAGAUCUGGCCUUUCUCACAAGCACCCAGGGGGCCACUCUGCCUGCUGGCCCAAGG